rnacentral:tRNA from 1 species
GGCCACUAAUUAUGAGGAUAAUUUAUGUUUUGAAAGCAUACCCAAGAGGUUCGACUCCUCUAUUGGUCU